AUCGAACGCUGGCGGCAGGCCUAACACAUGCAAGUCGAACGGUAGCACAGAGAGCUUGCUCUCGGGUGACGAGUGGCGGACGGGUGAGUAAUGUCUGGGAAACUGCCUGAUGGAGGGGGAUAACUACUGGAAACGGUAGCUAAUACCGCAUAACGUCGCAAGACCAAAGAGGGGGACCUUCGGGCCUCUUGCCAUCAGAUGUGCCCAGAUGGGAUUAGCUAGUAGGUGGGGUAAUGGCUCACCUAGGCGACGAUCCCUAGCUGGUCUGAGAGGAUGACCAGCCACACUGGAACUGAGACACGGUCCAGACUCCUACGGGAGGCAGCAGUGGGGAAUAUUGCACAAUGGGCGCAAGCCUGAUGCAGCCAUGCCGCGUGUAUGAAGAAGGCCUUCGGGUUGUAAAGUACUUUCAGCGGGGAGGAAGGUGUUGCGGUUAAUAACCGCAGCAGUUGACGUUACCCGCAGAAGAAGCACCGGCUAACUCCGUGCCAGCAGCCGCGGUAAUACGGAGGGUGCAAGCGUUAAUCGGAAUUACUGGGCGUAAAGCGCACGCAGGCGGUCUGUCAAGUCGGAUGUGAAAUCCCCCGGGCUCAACCUGGGAACUGCAUUCGAAACUGGCAGGCUAGAGUCUUGUAGAGGGGGGUAGAAUUCCAGGUGUAGCGGUGAAAUGCGUAGAGAUCUGGAGAAAUACCGGUGGCGAAGGCGGCCCCCUGGACAAAGACUGACGCUCAGGUGCGAAAGCGUGGGGAGCAAACAGGAUUAGAUACCCUGGUAGUCCACGCCGUAAACGAUGUCGACUUGGAGGUUGUUCCCUUGAGGAGUGGCUUCCGGAGCUAACGCGUUAAGUCGACCGCCUGGGGAGUACGGCCGCAAGGUUAAAACUCAAAUGAAUUGACGGGGGCCCGCACAAGCGGUGGAGCAUGUGGUUUAAUUCGAUGCAACGCGAAGAACCUUACCUACUCUUGACAUCCAGAGAACUUUCCAGAGAUGGAUUGGUGCCUUCGGGAACUCUGAGACAGGUGCUGCAUGGCUGUCGUCAGCUCGUGUUGUGAAAUGUUGGGUUAAGUCCCGCAACGAGCGCAACCCUUAUCCUUUGUUGCCAGCGGUCCGGCCGGGAACUCAAAGGAGACUGCCAGUGAUAAACUGGAGGAAGGUGGGGAUGACGUCAAGUCAUCAUGGCCCUUACGAGUAGGGCUACACACGUGCUACAAUGGCGCAUACAAAGAGAAGCGACCUCGCGAGAGCAAGCGGACCUCAUAAAGUGCGUCGUAGUCCGGAUUGGAGUCUGCAACUCGACUCCAUGAAGUCGGAAUCGCUAGUAAUCGUAGAUCAGAAUGCUACGGUGAAUACGUUCCCGGGCCUUGUACACACCGCCCGUCACACCAUGGGAGUGGGUUGCAAAAGAAGUAGGUAGCUUAACCUU
rnacentral:rRNA from 1 species